rnacentral:rRNA from 1 species
GAACGCUGGCGGCUGCCUAAUACAUGCAAGUCGAGCGAACAGACGAGGAGCUUGCUCCUCUGACGUUAGCGGCGGACGGGUGAGUAACACGUGGAUAACCUACCUAUAAGACUGGGAUAACUUCGGGAAACCGGAGCUAAUACCGGAUAAUAUAUUGAACCGCAUGGUUCAAUAGUGAAAGACGGUUUUGCUGUCACUUAUAGAUGGAUCCGCGCCGCAUUAGCUAGUUGGUAAGGUAACGGCUUACCAAGGCAACGAUGCGUAGCCGACCUGAGAGGGUGAUCGGCCACACUGGAACUGAGACACGGUCCAGACUCCUACGGGAGGCAGCAGUAGGGAAUCUUCCGCAAUGGGCGAAAGCCUGACGGAGCAACGCCGCGUGAGUGAUGAAGGUCUUCGGAUCGUAAAACUCUGUUAUUAGGGAAGAACAAAUGUGUAAGUAACUAUGCACGUCUUGACGGUACCUAAUCAGAAAGCCACGGCUAACUACGUGCCAGCAGCCGCGGUAAUACGUAAGUGGCAAGCGUUAUCCGGAAUUAUUGGGCGUAAAGCGCGCGUAGGCGGUUUUUUAAGUCUGAUGUGAAAGCCCACGGCUCAACCGUGGAGGGUCAUUGGAAACUGGAAAACUUGAGUGCAGAAGAGGAAAGUGGAAUUCCAUGUGUAGCGGUGAAAUGCGCAGAGAUAUGGAGGAACACCAGUGGCGAAGGCGACUUUCUGGUCUGUAACUGACGCUGAUGUGCGAAAGCGUGGGGAUCAAACAGGAUUAGAUACCCUGGUAGUCCACGCCGUAAACGAUGAGUGCUAAGUGUUAGAGGGUUUCCGCCCCUUAGUGCUGCAGCUAACGCAUUAAGCACUCCGCCUGGGGAGUACGA